rnacentral:rRNA from 1 species
UUGAGGAGUGACGGCGAGCCCUUUACCGGGCGGAAGCAAUUGAGCCCAUACUGUCAAGAAAAACCUCUAGUGAGACUUGCAUGCCCGUACCGUAAACCGACACUGGUAGAUGGGUAGAGUAUACCAAGGGGAUCGGGAGAAUCUUCGUUAAGGAAUUAGGCAAAUUAGGUCCGUAACUUCGGGAGAAGGACCACCUCUGUAGGGUGAUAGCGACUUGCUUGCUUGAGCCUGAAGAGGUCGCAGAGAAAUGGCUCUAUCGACUGUUUAUCAAAAACACAGGUCUGUGCGAAGUCGCAAGACGAAGUAUACAGGCUGACGCCUGCCCAGUGCCGGAAGGUUAAGGGGAGGGGUGCAAGCCCUGAACUGAAGCCCCGGUGAACGGCGGCUGUAACUAUAACAGUCCUAAGGUAGCGAAAUUCCUUGUCGGGUAAGUUCCGACCCGCACGAAAGGCGUAACGAAUGGAGCGCUGUCUCAACGAGGAACCCGGUGAAACUGAAUUAGGAGUGAAGAUGCUUCUUACCCGCAGCUGGACAAAAAGACCCCGUGGAGCUUUACUGUAGCUUGGCAUUGGGUUAGGACUUAGUCUGUGUAGUAUAGGUGGGAGACUGUGAAGCUGGUCCGCUAGGAUCGGUGGAGUCGCCAGUGAAAUACCACUCUGAUUAAGUUUUGACUCUAACCUUCACCGUUAUCCGGUGAGGAAACAGUGCCAGGUGGGCAGUUUGACUGGGGCGGUCGCCUCCUAAAGAGUAACGGAGGCGUGCAAAGGUUCCCUCAGGCUGAAUGGAAACCAGUCGUAGAGUGCAAACGCAUAAGGGAGCUUGACUGCGAGACCUACAAGUCGAGCAGAGACGAAAGUCGGCGUUAGUGAUCCUAUGGUUCCGAGUGGAAGGGCCAUGGCUUAACGGAUAAAAGCUACCCCGGGGAUAACAGGCUAGUCUCCCCCAAGAGUUCACAUCGACGGGGAGGUUCGGCACCUCGAUGUCGGCUCGUCACAUCCUGGGGCCGUAGCAGGUCCCAAGGGUUGGGCUGUUCGCCCAUUAAAGUGGUACGCGAGCUGGGUUCAGACCGUCAUGAGACAGGUCGGUCUCUAUCCGCUGUGGGCGUAAGGGAAUUGAAGAGAUCUGCCCCUAGUACGAGAGGACCGGGGUGGACAGACCUCUGGUGUGCCAGUUGUCCUGCCAAGGGCAUCGCUGGGUAGCUAAGUCUGGAAUGGAUAACCGCUGAAAGCAUCUAAGUGGGAAGCCGGCUCUAAGAUAAGUUCCCUCACAGGUUAACCUGGUAAGCGUGCUGGUAGACCACCAGCUUGAUAGGCGGCACGUGUACAGGCAGCAAUGUCUUCAGCGAAGCCGUACUAAUACGCGAGGGCUUAACC